rfam:Streptomyces viridochromogenes DSM 40736 genomic scaffold supercont1.1, whole genome shotgun sequence.
CGCUCCGGUGCCGUCGGCGACUGAAAGGCGAAGAACCCCCGAGGGAAAGAACCCCUGCCAAGCCCCACCCCUCCCGCCCGCGUCCCGUGCUCACUCGCGCGGGUGAACCUCCCCGGACCGGCUGGAUUUCGCGGCCCUCGAGGCCCGACGCUCAGCCCAACGCACCACCACAACCGCAGACAUGCGACGGCCCCCGCCGGGACGGCAAUCCCAGUGCGAGGGCCUGACCACCGAGGAAGAUAGAGGCUUCCCG